GGAGUUGUGCCUGAAUUAUAGGGUUAUUUUGAUAGAGUAAAUCAUGGGGGUUAAAAUCCCCCCGACUCCU
rnacentral:tRNA from 1 species